GACGGAGGAUGCAAGUGUUAUCCGGAAUCACUGGGCGUAAAGCGUCUGUAGGUGGUCAAAUAAGUCAACUGUUAAAUCUUGAGGCUCAACCUCAAAAUCGCAGUCGAAACUAUUAGACUAGAGUAUAGUAGGGGUAAAGGGAAUUUCCGGUGGAGCGGUGAAAUGCGUAGAGAUCGGAAAGAACACCAACGGCGAAAGCACUCUGCUGGGCCGACACUGACACUGAGAGACGAAAGCUAGGGGAGCGAAUGGG
rnacentral:rRNA from 1 species